GCAACGUAACGACCCGUCAGCAUACGUUCAACGAAAAGGACCGGCAGGGUUCAAAGUACGUAGAGUAGAAGGUAAGUGAUAUUACCUGUGUAUACACACGGAGCGCGCACACAAAGAAGAUAGUAAUGAACAAUCCUCAAUUUGUUCGAUGUUCGGAAGUUUUUGCUUGUUUUGAAAAGUUCAAAAAAUCGUAAAAAUUGACCAAAUCGUAGGUCGAGCCGACGAUAAUCACGAUAGUGUACCGCAUUUUCACUGCAGAAAUAUGUCGAAGUGCAACGUCCCGCGAUGCCGGAGCAGAAAAAUUUUGAAGAAAGUCGGAUAACUUUCCACCAUUUUCCGACCAACAAAUUGUUGAGACGGAAAUGGUUAAACUUUUUCGAAUACAAAAGCUCGUUCGAUACGCGAAACAUAUUUGUUUGUUCGCUUUAUUUUUCGCCGGAUUCUUUGGGGAUACUGUUUUAACCUAUAAUCAGCAAAGAAGACGUCUUCGUACUGGAGCUGUUCCAUGCAUUCGCUUCUUGGAUCUUCCAAAACGUUCCGUUUCAAUGGUUUCACACGAAAUUCCAAAUUUAUACAUUCACUUCAUGCGAAAGUGCAAAAUAUUUAUUUGCAAUCACUUCGGAAGAUGAUCCGGGAUGGAGGAAAUGUUUUUCUCGUUUUCCAGAAACGCCAAUUUGGUCCCUUAAGUGGCCCCACUACGGCUGAACACUCCAAACUGAGACCAAUGAAAGCGUCGCGAUGAUUCAUGAUGGAUGCUUCAAUGAAAGGCAAAAAAAUCAGCAGUGUUCAUCUUUCAUCAUAUUAUCAAAUUGCGGGAACGACACUGCUUCGAUAUAACCUCUCCACACAUUUGUUCAUCGUUUUUUGCGUUAUUUUUAUAAUACAGGUGCGAUAAUUUCACUGUUUUUAAUUUUAAAAUGAUUAAGUAAACUGUUGUUUCAUCCCCUGGAAACAUAUUUUGAGACAGUUCUUUUGUUACAAUUUAAAAAAAUUCAAAAAUGUUCGAAUUUAUAUGAGUUCAAUCGAUGGUUUAUUACAAUUUUUUGCUUUUUUUCUUUGCCUACCACUACUUGAACAAAGCAGGGAGGAGACUACCUUCUCUUCUACGUACUUUGGCGCGAACAGACACUUAUUGGCCGAACAACUUUGGCGAUUGAGCUUUCGCCCUGGUCCAGGGAGGUGGGAGGGGAAACCUAAGCUCUUAAGCCUAUACUUUCUGUUGUAUCUCUUAGUUAACUUUUGGUUGUGGCUUAGUGAAGGUACACUGUUAAUGUUUCAGUGUGAGUUUUCGAAUUUAAAUAUUUGAAUCUGACCUAACAAUCCCAAACCAAUAAUUAAAUAAAUAAGAAUAUGAAUAAAUAACUAAA